rnacentral:misc_RNA from 1 species
GAAAUGCGAUAAGUAAUGUGAAUUGCAGAAUUCAGUGAAUCAUCGAAUCUUUGAACGCACAUUGCGCCCCCUGGUAUUCCGGGGGGCAUGCCUGUUCGAGCGUCAUUUCACCACUCAAGCCUCGCUUGGUAUUGGGCGACGCGGUCCGCCGCGCGCCUCAAAUCGACCGGCUGGGUCUUUCGUCCCCUCAGCGUUGUGGAAACUAUUCGCUAAAGGGUGCCGCGGGUGGCCACGCCGUAAAACAACCCCAUUUCUAAGGUUGACCUCGGAUCAGGUAGGGAUACCCGCUGAACUUAAGC